AAUAUUUUUAUUUUAUAGUUUACAAUUAUUAUUAAGUAACGUCCUGUCAAACCCGUCCAGUAAAAAAAACCAUUUAUUUUAUUAAUGUUGAUCUUAUUUAUGAUAUGUUUAUGAAUCAUUGUCUAAAUAUUUUGUAAUUUUGUCUCUGUUUAGUUAAUGUGGAGAGAUUUUGGAAAGAUUGUUAAAUGUCAAAUAUUUAAUUCGAAGAUUUUCUUUCUAAUUAUCAAAUACAAACAUCAAAAUCCAGUGGCAGCCAUUGUAAAUAAGUCCAACUACAAAAUUUAUUUCACAAAAUGGCUGCAAAAAUGUAUAUAUAGAUACUAAAGAAAGAUAUUAGAAUUCCGACAACUCUUACAAAUUUUAA
rnacentral:sRNA from 1 species